rnacentral:rRNA from 1 species
CCUACGGGUGGCAGCAGUGAGGAAUAUUGGUCAAUGGACGCAAGUCUGAACCAGCCAUGCCGCGUGAGUGAAGAAGUAUUUCGGUAUGUAAAGCUCUAUCAGCAGGGAAGAAAAUGACGGUACCUGACUAAGAAGCCCCGGCUAACUACGUGCCAGCAGCCGCGGUAAUACGUAGGGGGCAAGCGUUAUCCGGAUUUACUGGGUGUAAAGGGAGCGUAGACGGCCAGACAAGUCAGAAGUGAAAACCCGCGGCUCAACUGCGGGAGUGCUUUUGAAACUGUUUGGCUGGAGUGCAGGAGAGGUAAGUGGAAUUCCUAGUGUAGCGGUGAAAUGCGUAGAUAUUAGGAGGAACACCAGUGGCGAAGGCGGCUUACUGGACUGUAACUGACGUUGAGGCUCGAAAGCGUGGGGAGCAAACAGGAUUAGAUACCCCAGUAGUC